rnacentral:rRNA from 1 species
GACGAACGCUGGCGGCGUGCCUAAUACAUGCAAGUCGAGCGAGCGGAACUAACAGAUUUACUUCGGUAAUGACGUUAGGAAAGCGAGCGGCGGAUGGGUGAGUAACACGUGGGGAACCUGCCCCAUAGUCUGGGAUACCACUUGGAAACAGGUGCUAAUACCGGAUAAGAAAGCAGAUCGCAUGAUCAGCUUUUAAAAGGCGGCGUAAGCUGUCGCUAUGGGAUGGCCCCGCGGUGCAUUAGCUAGUUGGUAAGGUAAAGGCUUACCAAGGCGAUGAUGCAUAGCCGAGUUGAGAGACUGAUCGGCCACAUUGGGACUGAGACACGGCCCAAACUCCUACGGGAGGCAGCAGUAGGGAAUCUUCCACAAUGGACGCAAGUCUGUUGGAGCAACGCCGCGUGAGUGAAGAAGGUGUUCGGAUCGUAAAGCUCUGUUGUUGGUGAAGAAGGAUAGAGGUAGUAACUGGCCUUUAUUUGACGGUAAUCAACCAGAAAGUCACGGCUAACUACGUG